rnacentral:rRNA from 1 species
AUUGAACGCUGGCGGCAGGCCUAACACAUGCAAGUCGAGCGGAUGAAGGGAGCUUGCUCCUGGAAUCAGCGGCGGAAGGGUGAGUAAUGCCUAGGAAUCUGCCUGGUAGUGGGGGAUAACGUCCGGAAACGGGCGCUAAUACCGCAUACGUCCUGAGGGAGAAAGUGGGGGAUCUUCGGACCUCACGCUAUCAGAUGAGCCUAGGUCGGAUUAGCUAGUUGGUGGGGUAAAGGCCUACCAAGGCGACGAUCCGUAACUGGUCUGAGAGGAUGAUCAGUCACACUGGAACGGAGACACGGUCCAGACUCCUACGGGAGGCAGCAGUGGGGAAUAUUGGACAAUGGGCGAAAGCCUGAUCCAGCCAUGCCGCGUGUGUGGAGAAGGUCUUCGGAUUGUAAAGCACUUUAAGUUGGGAGGAAGGGCAGUAAGUUAAUACCUUGCUGUUUUGACGGUACCAACAGAAUAAGCACCGGCUAACUUCGUG